UACGUAGGGUGCGAGCGUUAAUCGGAAUUACUGGGCGUAAAGGGUGCGUAGGCGGUUUGAUAAGUCUGAUGUGAAAUCCCCGGGCUUAACCUGGGAACGGCAUUGGAGACUGUCAAGCUAGAGUGCGUCAGAGGGGGGUAGAAUUCCACGUGUAGCAGUGAAAUGCGUAGAGAUGUGGAGGAAUACCGAUAGCGAAGGCAGCCCCCUGGGAUGACACUGACGCUGAAGCACGGAAGCGUGGGGAGCAAACAGG
rnacentral:rRNA from 1 species